rnacentral:rRNA from 1 species
GAGUUUGAUCAUGGCUCAGAUUGAACGCUGGCGGCAGGCCUAACACAUGCAAGUCGAACGGUAACAGGAAGAAGCUUGCUUCUUUGCUGACGAGUGGCGGACGGGUGAGUAAUGUCUGGGAAACUGCCUGAUGGAGGGGGAUAACUACUGGAAACGGUAGCUAAUACCGCAUAACGUCGCAAGACCAAAGAGGGGGACCUUCGGGCCUCUUGCCAUCGGAUGUGCCCAGAUGGGAUUAGCUAGUAGGUGGGGUAACGGCUCACCUAGGCGACGAUCCCUAGCUGGUCUGAGAGGAUGACCAGCCACACUGGAACUGAGACACGGUCCAGACUCCUACGGGAGGCAGCAGUGGGGAAUAUUGCACAAUGGGCGCAAGCCUGAUGCAGCCAUGCCGCGUGUAUGAAGAAGGCCUUCGGGUUGUAAAGUACUUUCAGCGGGGAGGAAGGGAGUAAAGUUAAUACCUUUGCUCAUUGACGUUACCCGCAGAAGAAGCACCGGCUAACUCCGUGCCAGCAGCCGCGGUAAUAUGAGGGUGCAAGCGUUAAUCGGAAUUACUGGGCGUAAAGCGCACGCAGGCGGUUUGUUAAGUCAGAUGUGAAAUCCCCGGGCUCAACCUGGGAACUGCAUCUGAUACUGGCAAGCUUGAGUCUCGUAGAGGGGGGUAGAAUUCCAGGUGUAGCGGUGAAAUGCGUAGAGAUCUGGAGGAAUACCGGUGGCGAAGGCGGCCCCCUGGACGAAGACUGACGCUCAGGUGCGAAAGCGUGGGGGGCAAACAGGAUUAGAUACCCUGGUAGUCCACGCCGUAAACGAUGUCGACUUGGAGGUUGUGCCCUUGAGGCGUGGCUUCCGGAGCUAACGCGUUAAGUCGACCGCCUGGGGAGUACGGCCGCAAGGUUAAAACUCAAAUGAAUUGACGGGGGCCCGCACAAGCGGUGGAGCAUGUGGUUUAAUUCGAUGCAACGCGAAGAACCUUACCUGGUCUUGACAUCCACGGAAGUUUUCAGAGAUGAGAAUGUGCCUUCGGGAACCGAGAGACAGGUGCUGCAUGGCUGUCGUCAGCUCGUGUUGUGAAAUGUUGGGUUAAGUCCCGCAACGAGCGCAACCCUUAUCCUUUGUUGCCAGCGGUCCGGCCGGGAACUCAAAGGAGACUGCCAGUGAUAAACUGGAGGAAGGUGGGGAUGACGUCAAGUCAUCAUGGCCCCUUACGACCAGGGCUACACACGUGCUACAACGGCGCAUACAAAGAGAAGCGACCUCGCGAGAGCAAGCGGACCUCAUAAAGUGCGUCGUAGUCCGGAUUGGAGUCUGCAACUCGACUCCAUGAAGUCGGAAUCGCUAGUAAUCGUGGAUCAGAAUGCCACGGUGAAUACGUUCCCGGGCCUUGUACACACCGCCCGUCACACCAUGGGAGUGGGUUGCAAAAGAAGUAGGUAGCUUAACCUUCGGGAGGGCGCUUACCACUUUGUGAUUCAUGACUGGGGUGAAGUCGUAACAAGGUA